rnacentral:snoRNA from 1 species
GCCUGUGUUUGAAAGUGAUUGUGGGCUGCCCAUGCCUGGGUCAUUGAUAGUGCAGGAAGAGUAAUUACUGAAAGCGUUUCUCCGUGUUUGGAGGGCCCACCCCUUCUCCUUCCAAACCCUGGAGCUUUCUCAAA